rnacentral:rRNA from 1 species
UACGGGGGGUGCGAGCGUUGUCCGGAAUCACUGGGCGUAAAGGGCGCGUAGGUGGUUUGAUAAGGGUGUGGUGAAAGUCCGGGGCUCAACCCCGGAUCUGCCGUGCCGACUGUCAAACUCGAGGACUGUAGAGGCAGGCGGAAUUCCGGGUGUAGCGGUGGAAUGCGCAGAUAUCAGGAGGAACACCGGUGGCGAAGGCGGGUCUCUGGGCAGUAACUGACGCUGAGGAGCGAAAGCGUGGGGAGCGAACAGG